GACGAACGCUGGCGGCGUGCUUAACACAUGCAAGUCGAACGAUGAAGCCGGAGCUUGCUCUGGUGAAUUAGUGGCGAACGGGUGAGUAACACGUGAGUAACCUGCCCUUGACUCUGGGAUAACUGCUAGAAAUGGUAGCUAAUACCGGAUACGACCCUCGGAGGCAUCUCCAGGGGGUGGAAAGAAUUUCGGUCAAGGAUGGACUCGCGGCCUAUCAGCUAGUUGGUGAGGUAACGGCUCACCAAGGCGACGACGGGUAGCCGGCCUGAGAGGGUGACCGGCCACACUGGGACUGAGACACGGCCCAGACUCCUACGGAGGCAGCAGUGGGGAAUAUUGCACAAUGGGCGCAAGCCUGAUGCAGCAACGCCGCGUGAGGGAUGACGGCCUUCGGGUUGUAACCCUCUUUUAGUAGGGAAGAAGCGAAAGUGACGGUACCUGCAGAAAAAGCACCGGCUAACUACGUGCCAGCAGCCGCCGUAA
rnacentral:rRNA from 1 species